ACUAAGCGUACACGGUGGAUGCCCUGGCAGUCAGAGGCGAUGAAGGGCGUGCUAAUCUGCGAUAAGCGCCGGUAAGGUGAUAUGAACCGUUAUAACCGGCGAUACCCGAAUGGGGAAACCCAGUGUGAUUCGUCACACUAUCAUUAACUGAAUCCAUAGGUUAAUGAGGCGAACCGGGGGAACUGAAACAUCUAAGUACCCCGAGGAAAAGAAAUCAACCGAGAUUCCCCCAGUAGCGGCGAGCGAACGGGGAGGAGCCCAGAGCCUGAAUCAGCAUGUGUGUUAGUGGAAGCGUCUGGAAAGGCGCGCGAUACAGGGUGACAGCCCCGUACACAAAAGCGCAUGUGCUGUGAGCUCGAUGAGUAGGGCGGGACACGUGGUAUCCUGUCUGAAUAUGGGGGGACCAUCCUCCAAGGCUAAAUACUCCUGACUGACCGAUAGUGAACCAGUACCGUGAGGGAAAGGCGAAAAGAACCCCGGCGAGGGGAGUGAAAAAGAACCUGAAACCGUGUACGUACAAGCAGUGGGAGCACAGGUUUACCUGUGUGACUGCGUACCUUUUGUAUAAUGGGUCAGCGACUUAUAUUCUGUAGCAAGGUUAACCGAAUAGGGGAGCCGGAGGGAAACCGAGUCUUAAUUGGGCGUUAAGUUGCAGGGUAUAGACCCGAAACCCGGUGAUCUAGCCAUGGGCAGGUUGAAGGUUGGGUAACACUAACUGGAGGACCGAACCGACUAAUGUUGAAAAAUUAGCGGAUGACCUGUGGCUGGGGGUGAAAGGCCAAUCAAACCGGGAGAUAGCUGGUUCUCCCCGAAAGCUAUUUAGGUAGCGCCUCGUGAAUUCAUCUCCGGGGGUAGAGCACUGUUUCGGCUAGGGGGCCAUCCCGGCUUACCAACCCGAUGCAAACUGCGAAUACCGGAGAAUGUUAUCACGGGAGACACACGGCGGGUGCUAACGUCCGUCGUGAAGAGGGAAACAACCCAGACCGCCAGCUAAGGUCCCAAAGUCAUGGUUAAGUGGGAAACGAUGUGGGAAGGCCCAGACAGCCAGGAUGUUGGCUUAGAAGCAGCCAUCAUUUAAAGAAAGCGUAAUAGCUCACUGGUCGAGUCGGCCUGCGCGGAAGAUGUAACGGGGCUAAACCAUGCACCGAAGCUGCGGCAGCGACGCUUAUGCGUUGUUGGGUAGGGGAGCGUUCUGUAAGCCUGUGAAGGUGGCCUGUGAGGGUUGCUGGAGGUAUCAGAAGUGCGAAUGCUGACAUAAGUAACGAUAAAGCGGGUGAAAAGCCCGCUCGCCGGAAGACCAAGGGUUCCUGUCCAACGUUAAUCGGGGCAGGGUGAGUCGACCCCUAAGGCGAGGCCGAAAGGCGUAGUCGAUGGGAAACGGGUUAAUAUUCCCGUACUUGGUGUUACUGCGAAGGGGGGACGGAGAAGGCUAUGUUGGCCGGGCGACGGUUGUCCCGGUUUAAGCGUGUAGGUGUGUGUUCCAGGUAAAUCCGGUUCACUUUAACACUGAGGCGUGAUGACGAGGCACUACGGUGCUGAAGCAACAAAUGCCCUGCUUCCAGGAAAAGCCUCUAAGCAUCAGGUAACAUCAAAUCGUACCCCAAACCGACACAGGUGGUCAGGUAGAGAAUACCAAGGCGCUUGAGAGAACUCGGGUGAAGGAACUAGGCAAAAUGGUGCCGUAACUUCGGGAGAAGGCACGCUGACACGUAGGUGAAGUGAUUUACUCAUGGAGCUGAAGUCAGUCGAAGAUACCAGCUGGCUGCAACUGUUUAUUAAAAACACAGCACUGUGCAAACACGAAAGUGGACGUAUACGGUGUGACGCCUGCCCGGUGCCGGAAGGUUAAUUGAUGGGGUCAGCGCAAGCGAAGCUCCUGAUCGAAGCCCCGGUAAACGGCGGCCGUAACUAUAACGGUCCUAAGGUAGCGAAAUUCCUUGUCGGGUAAGUUCCGACCUGCACGAAUGGCGUAAUGAUGGCCAGGCUGUCUCCACCCGAGACUCAGUGAAAUUGAACUCGCUGUGAAGAUGCAGUGUACCCGCGGCAAGACGGAAAGACCCCGUGAACCUUUACUAUAGCUUGACACUGAACAUUGAGCCUUGAUGUGUAGGAUAGGUGGGAGGCUUUGAAGCGUGGACGCCAGUCUGCGUGGAGCCGACCUUGAAAUACCACCCUUUAAUGUUUGAUGUUCUAACGUGGACCCGUAAUCCGGGUUGCGGACAGUGUCUGGUGGGUAGUUUGACUGGGGCGGUCUCCUCCUAAAGAGUAACGGAGGAGCACGAAGGUUGGCUAAUCCUGGUCGGACAUCAGGAGGUUAGUGCAAUGGCAUAAGCCAGCUUGACUGCGAGCGUGACGGCGCGAGCAGGUGCGAAAGCAGGUCAUAGUGAUCCGGUGGUUCUGAAUGGAAGGGCCAUCGCUCAACGGAUAAAAGGUACUCCGGGGAUAACAGGCUGAUACCGCCCAAGAGUUCAUAUCGACGGCGGUGUUUGGCACCUCGAUGUCGGCUCAUCACAUCCUGGGGCUGAAGUAGGUCCCAAGGGUAUGGCUGUUCGCCAUUUAAAGUGGUACGCGAGCUGGGUUUAGAACGUCGUGAGACAGUUCGGUCCCUAUCUGCCGUGGGCGCUGGAGAACUGAGGGGGGCUGCUCCUAGUACGAGAGGACCGGAGUGGACGCAUCACUGGUGUUCGGGUUGUCAUGCCAAUGGCACUGCCCGGUAGCUAAAUGCGGAAGAGAUAAGUGCUGAAAGCAUCUAAGCACGAAACUUGCCCCGAGAUGAGUUCUCCCUGAGACUUAGAGUCUCCUGAAGGAACGUUGAAGACGACGACGUUGAUAGGCCGGGUGUGUAAGCGCAGCGAUGCGUUGAGCUAACCGGUACUAAUGAACCGUGAGGCUUAACC
rnacentral:rRNA from 1 species